rnacentral:misc_RNA from 1 species
GCCGUGCGGUCAGCCGUGGAGAUGGGCAGAGGGACUCGAGCAGAGGGAGGAAUUUCAGCUGGGAAGGGAAAUCCGAGCUGGAGCUGCGACGGUGAGGCUCCACGGCGAGCCGGGCGAGCAGGGGGAACCAGCAGCGGGCGCGGCAGGGAGCCGGCGCGCCAUGGCUGGAGCACCAGCGAGCACAAACCGAGAGCAGGGUGCGGCGGAUUCUAGGCAGGGUCGAGGAGAUGCUGGGGAGGAGCCGAGCACCAGUCACCGGAGCAGGGAGAAGCUACCGCCAGAGACUGAGAACGAGCGCUUGGAAGCCAUGGCUACUACUCCGACGGCUAGAGAAGAACACCAGGGCGAUGCGUAGAUAGACGAGCAGGGCAGGGGCGCUCGGCUGAGAGCAG